rnacentral:rRNA from 1 species
ACUCCGCCUGGGGAGUACGACCGCAAGGUUGAAACUCAAAGGAAUUGACGGGGGCCCGCACAAGCGGUGGAGCAUGUGGUUUAAUUCGAAGCAACGCGAAGAACCUUACCAAGUCUUGACAUACUGUGAGGACACAAGAGAUUGUGUUGUUCUGACCUUUGGUUAGACACAGAUACAGGUGGUGCAUGGUUGUCGUCAGCUCGUGUCGUGAGAUGUUGGGUUAAGUCCCGCAACGAGCGCAACCCUUGCCUUCAGUUACCAGCAUUCAGUUGGGGACUCUGGAGGGACUGCCGGUGAUAAACCGGAGGAAGGUGGGGAUGACGUCAAAUCAUCAUGCCCCUUAUGGCCUGGGCUACACACGUACUACAAUGGCUGUUACAACGUGCAGCGACCUAGCGAUAGGAAGCGAAUCACUAAAAGACAGUCUCAGUUCGGAUUGAAGUCUGCAACUCGACUUCAUGAAGCUGGAAUCGCUAGUAAUCGCGGAUCAGAAUGCCGCGGUGAAUACGUUCUCGGGCCUUGUACACACCGCCCGUCAUACCAUGAGAGCUGGUAAUACCCGAAGCCGGUGGCCUAACCGCAAGGAAGGAGCCGUCGAAGGUAGGACUAGUGAUUGGGGUCAAGUCGUAACAAGGUAUCCCUACGAGAACGUGGGGAUG